rnacentral:rRNA from 1 species
AGAGUUUGAUCCUGGCUCAGGAUGAACGCUGGCGGCGUGCCUAACACAUGCAAGUCGAGCGAUCUUCUUCGGAAGAGAGCGGCGGACGGGUGAGUAACGCGUGGGUAACCUGCCCUGUACACACGGAUAACAUACCGAAAGGUAUGCUAAUACGAGAUAAUAUACUUUUAUCGCAUGGUAGAAGUAUCAAAGCUCUGGCGGUACAGGAUGGACCCGCAUCUGAUUAGCUAGUUGGUAAGGUAACGGCUUACCAAGGCGACGAUCAGUAGCCGACCUGAGAGGGUGAUCGGCCACAUUGGAACUGAGACACGGUCCAAACUCCUACGGGAGGCAGCAGUGGGGAAUAUUGCACAAUGGGCGAAAGCCUGAUGCAGCAACGCCGCGUGAGCGAUGAAGGCCUUCGGGUCGUAAAGCUCUGUCCUCAAGGAAGAUAAUGACGGUACUUGAGGAGGAAGCCCCGGCUAACUACGUGCCAGCAGCCGCGGUAAUACGUAGGGGGCUAGCGUUAUCCGGAAUUACUGGGCGUAAAGGGUGCGUAGGUGGUUUCUUAAGUCAGAGGUGAAAGGCUACGGCUCAACCGUAGUAAGCCUUUGAAACUGGGAAACUUGAGUGCAGGAGAGGAGAGUGGAAUUCCUAGUGUAGCGGUGAAAUGCGUAGAUAUUAGGAGGAACACCAGUUGCGAAGGCGGCUCUCUGGACUGUAACUGACACUGAGGCACGAAAGCGUGGGGAGCAAACAGGAUUAGAUACCCUGGUAGUCCACGCCGUAAACGAUGAGUACUAGCUGUCGGAGGUUACCCCCUUCGGUGGCGCAGCUAACGCAUUAAGUACUCCGCCUGGGAAGUACGCUCGCAAGAGUGAAACUCAAAGGAAUUGACGG